CUUGAAUUUGUAUGAUCGCAUACUGACGUAGAUUUUUUGUUUUCUGCAAGUUUCACUAUUUCUUUAAAACCUGUCACUUUGUGUUUCUGUGUGAACUACUUAUCUCCAUUUUUACAGUAAAUUUGACAGUUAGUAAAACAGUGUACAUGCAUGGAUGUCGGCACACUAGACAAAAAAACUUCUCUAGGGGUAAUUAAUUCCUAUCUAGUCUGUAUUAAAAAUAUUCCGCUGGUGCCUAUACACUCGAAACAAACACGUACUGAAGGAAAUGUCCCC